rnacentral:RNase_P_RNA from 1 species
GAAGCACGCCAGACCGCCGCUGGUGCGCGCUUGAAAAGGCCGCACUGGAGGAAAGUCCGGACUGCACAGGGCAGCGCAGCAGCCAACGGCUGUCCACCGCGAGGUGAGGAUCAGAGCAACAGAGACGAGUCACCUUGGGUGCCGCGCCGGAGGUGAAAACCGAAGGCACGAGCAUCCAGGGUGAGUGCAACGGGCAAUCUCUGCGCGCAGCAACACCAAGUAGGCACACGUUGACGGGGCCCCCCGAGUGUGCGGGUAGGUGGCAUCGAGCCGGCGGGGCGACCCCCGGCCCAGAUUGAUGGCGGUCACAUGCGGGCGACCGCAUGCACAGAAUCCGGCUUAUCGGCGGGCUUCACAC